rnacentral:sRNA from 1 species
GGAGGACAUUCAAAAAACACAUGG